UUCCUAACACGUUAUUGUAAACAAGAAUUCAAUAAAAUAAUCACUCAUCCAACAGUUUCUUUUUCUCUAAACUAUCUCCAGCGUCACAAAAUAUUUCUACAAGCUCCUCCCAAUUACGUUUUUUAAUCACUUUAUUCUUAUAAUCGGGACUUUCCAUAUCCCAGAUCGCUGGUCGUUUUUGAAUUUCAUCUAUAAACAAAUCUGAAUCGAAAUGAAAAGAAAAAUAAAAAAAGAUACUGGAUUCAUCCUUUACUAGAAAUGGUGCUCCCACAUUGCCGUUUUACAUUUACUAACAAAUGUUAACAAUUGUUGCACUUUGUUAGAAACUGUUACAUGUUAUAAGUGCUCCUACAUUGAUGAAAAUGUUUAAACAUUUUAUAACAUCUAGUAUUGGCUCGCAGUUUGGUUUCGCCUUCUGAGGGCCGAGGACGUCUACACGAAAAUGGAAGAAGAUUUGCUCAUUGGAAUAGCUUUUAUUUUUUGUUUAAAAAAAGAAGAAAAAGCGCUCUUAUUGGAUGCGCCAAACGCUAAAAGCUAGAGGAAAAUAUAGUGCCACAGACUAUCUCAAGGAUUUGGGUAUUGACGGUUGCUUAAAAGAUUUUAUAAGAAUGAACAGUUCCGAAUUUGAAUAUCUACAAAAUUUAAUUGGGGCAAAAAUAGGCAAACGAGACACUACAUUUAGAAAAUCUGUAAGUGUGACGGAAAGACUUGCGGUAACGUUAAGAUUUUUGGCAACUGGUAGCAGUUAUAAAAGUCUUGGAAAUGUGUUCAAGUUGUCAGACCAAGUGAUAUCUAUUAUCGUACCAGAAGUGUGCGAGGCUCUCAAUGAGGUUUUAAAGGAAUACAUACAGAGCGUGAACACAUCGGCGCCCCUUCUACGCCAAGCCACAAAUUCAGUACAAAAACCUACAAAAAAAAAAUAGUGAUUCCAACAUCUUAACGAAAAGUUAUCGAUAACCAAUGAAUCCGUGCUUUUCGUUCUAUAUUUUUUUAAUAAAUAUUAUUCGUUGCAUUGGUCUUUUAUUUAACUUGACCCUAUUUACCCGGUAUCAUACUAUCAUUAAACAGCAGUUACUAAGUUCUAAGCAACCUAAAAGCAAACAUUAGAACUACAAACGAAUAAAUCAAUAAUAAGGUACAUCACUAAUCUGGUUCGUGACGUCAUCCGCCGACGUGAAGACACGUCUCUGGCGUGGCUGGCACGACUUUUGACAACUUUCUCGCAUGCGAGUAGGGAUGUGAUCAUGUGAUAUUGUGGUACAUAAAAAAUAAUAAUAUUUUAUUAUUUAAAACAAUUUAUCAUUUUACAUAUAAUUAUUAGUCGGAUUCUUCGAAACUUGGCAAACUUAUAUCAUCCAAGUCCUUUUGCUGUCUUACUUUUCUUAUUACGUUCAGUAUAUUGACAUAUGUGACUGACCGUUUUUCUUCUGGCACUCGAUCCAAUUCAAAAGCGACCAGUCUUGCGAACGCCGCAGUUCGUGGGUCGCUAGGUCCUGGUUGGGCAAAAUCCAACGGAGGUAAAUUAGAAACGUCACACCUUAAUUCAUUUGCGUCCCAUACGCUCCGUUGAUAAGUGUUUGCACUCGUUAUAUCUUCUGCAGAAACUUGUAUUUUUAUAGUUUUCUUUGUCGUUUCUUCAUUUGAAGAUGCCUUCCUUUUGCGACUUAGGUCACUUAUUAUGCUUGGUGAGGAAGGUCCAGCUAUAUCCUCAGGAGAAGACAUAAUUAACACUUUUAUAAACUUAACAAACUUUUUAACUUGUCGUAACUUGUAAUUACGGCAACUACCUACCUAUGAUUACUCUAUGAUCAAAACUUUUCUAGUAUUCUAUCUUUUUUAGUGUUGCCAACCAAAAUGAAAAAAAUAUAAUGAACGAAUGAAAUCACUACAUAAUAUAAUUUAUGGAAAGGAUCUGCUGCAGAUGUAAGCUAGUAUGCAAUAAGUUUCAUUCAAUUAAGAUUUUCCUGAAUCUGAAAUUAAACUAGUUAGUAAACGAAAAAAAAAAUACAAGUAAAUAAUCAGUCUUUUAAUUGUGUUAUUCUCGGAAUUACUAAUAAUAUUAUUUAAAAAAAUAAAGCAUCAGUAGUGAGUGCUAAUCUCUAUGGAUACUGUUUUGUGCCAGCACGACCUCAGCGUCGAAACUAGUCACAGGUAAUCAAAACACUUAAGGUGAUAACGUCAGGGUAGCCCGCGAAAUUCAAAUUUUCUUUGUUUUUUUGUAAUUUGCUGGUCAGUGUUAGGAUAUAUUAACCAAAAUAUGAUUCGCGAUCGUAACACGUAUGCCUUUAUAUGAUUAUAACAUUAAAAUCUUCAAAACAACCUUCUUAACCCAAUGAUGGUCCGAUUCACAAUAAUUCAUACCUACAAACUUAAAUUAAAAAUAUAAAAAGGUUGGAAAAAUUGUCAUUUAUAAAUAAAAAAAUCAUAUGAAAUUAUUUAAAUUAACAGUGAUAUUUUUCACUUUAGCACACAAAUAGACCUUGCAUAUUUUACAAGCGUACUUUGUUUCUUUUCUUUUUUUUAUAACUGCGCAUUGUCUACAACGUCGGUAUUUGCCCAUAAGGGUCGGCAUGUGAUCAUUGUUAUUUUUCGACAGUAUACGAAGUGGGUUAUGACUACUGCUUAUGGACUGAGGUAGUGUAUUGUGACUAUGAAAAUUUUCUAUAAUUUGGCGAAUAAGAGACAGAUGAAAUUUUGCAAAAUGUAAAUUUGGAAUGUUAUUUAUUUCCUUAUAACAGAAAAAAGGAUUUAAUACGUGCAUAUCAAUUAUGUGGAGAAACAACUUUUUAUACCAUUUUAUGGUUUUUCUUAUGCACUGUAUUGAAGACAGUAACAUGUCAGCCGUAUCAACGCUUCCCAUAUUUUUGGAAUAGUCCAAAACUGCAACACUGCACAUGCAACAAACAAUAAAGUUUACAAAACAAUAAAAAUUCUUAACUAAGCCAAAAUUAAAAACAGAUUAAUCAUACAAAAAAACACACAAAAAGUUUCUUAAAACUAACCUAAAACCUAGUGUUACCCCCCCGUGCCCGGAUGACGGCUUCCAUACGCUCCCUCAUGGAUCUCACCAAUUUUAGGAGCUCUUCUUGAGGGAUACUAGCCCAUUCCUCAAUAACGGCCUCUUCAAGUUCCUGGAGAGUCGUAGGAGCGGGAUCACGAGACCGAAUCUUGCGUUUCAAAUGGUCCCAGAGGUGCUCUAUCGGGUUCAGAUCUGGACUUCUCGCUGGCCACUGCAUGACAGAGAUCCCAACCUCUUGAAGGUAAUCGCGCACAAUUAAUGCAGUGUGAGCGCGAGCGUUAUCGUGCAUUAAUGUGAACCCCUCGCCAAUAAAACCGGCAUAGGGAACCACAUGCUCUUCCAGGAUCUCUGUUAUAUACCGGUGAGCAGUCAACGAUCCGCGAGCACCUGCGAGCUGCCCGGAGCUGUUGUUGCAACUCAACAGCAUUAGAAAACCGAUUUCUUAAAGAUGUCGAUACGAUGAAUCGGUCGUCUCUCUCCGAGGUGCAGCGACGUCUACCAGACCCAUGCCUCCGGACAUGGCCACCGGUCUCUAGGAACCGCUGGUAUACUCUUCGAACCGAAAAACGGCUCAAGUUCAGUUGCCGAGCGACAUCAAACUGUCGCAUCCCUGAUUGCAGUAGUGCAAUCACUUGAGCGGAUUCAUCAGCAGUAGUAUCCAUCUUCAAGGGGUUUUUUUUUUGUGAACGAUCUUCUCGUGUGUCCUCUUCAACGGUUGGAUAGCGAAUGACCCCAAUUGAACCUGUAUUAACCCUUUUAUACCCACUAAAGGUAGCGCAAGUUGUGGCCCCGCUGAGGAGCAAAAUUUGCCUUUUUUUAUCAAGUUACAUUUGUGGUAUCAAACUUUUUUUUAAUUAAAUGAAAUGGUGUUUUUU